rnacentral:misc_RNA from 1 species
GAUGAAGAACGUAGCGAAAUGCGAUAAGUAGUGUGAAUUGCAGAAUUCCGUGAAUCAUCGAAUCUUUGAACGCACAUUGCGCCUUCUGGUAUUCCGGAAGGCAUGCCUGUUCGAGAGUCAUUAACAACCGUUUCGAUCCCUUUCUUUCAGAAAUUACAAAGAGGAAAAGGGUUUGGUUAUGGUGGAGGAGGGAAAGGGAGCGUUUAGCCUGUAAAAAAAGAGGCUGUGUUCCGCCUCCCCCCCAAAAUUGUACAGGCGGUCGUGUGCGCCCACGCAUCGAGGUGUUGUAGAAGCUGCCACGGCACUUUUCACCUGUGCAGUGCGAGAUUGGCCAGCCGGUUUAAAAACCCCUCCAAACAAUCAAAGGUUGACCUCGGAUCAGGUAGGGAUACCCGCUGAACUUAAGCAUAUCAAUAAGCGGAGGA